rnacentral:rRNA from 1 species
CGGAGGCUACCGCUAUUGGAGUUCGAUUAAGCCAUGCGAGUCGAGAGUCUUAGGGACUCGGCGUACCGCUCAGUAACACGUGGGUAACCUGCCCUAUGCUGGGGAAUAACCUCGGGAAACUGAGAAUAAUGCCCCAUAGUCCACCAUGCCUGGAACGGUUGGUGGAUCAAAGCUCCGGCGGCAUAGGAUGGGCCUGCGGCGUAUCAGGUUGUAGGGGGUGUAAUGUACCCUCUAGCCAUCAACGCGUACGGGUGUUGGGAGACAUAGCCCGGAGAUGGAUUCUGAGACACGAAUCCAGACCCUACGGGGUGCAGCAGGCGCGAAAACUUGGCAAUGCGAGCAAUCGUGACCAGGGAACUCCAAGUGGCUGGGGUAAGACCCAGUCUUUUCUUGACUCUUCAAAGGUCUUGGAAUAAGGGGUGGGUAAGGACGGUGCCAGCCGCCGCGAUAAUACCGGCGCCUCAAGUGGUAGUCGAUUUUAUUGGGCCUAAAACGUCCGUAGCCUGUUUGGUACAUUCGUGGGUAAAUCAACCAGCUCAACUGAUUGAAUUCUGCGAGCACGGCCAGACUUGGGACCGGGAGAGGUGUGGGGUACGCUCAGGGUAGGGGUAAAAUCCUGUCAUCCUGAGCGGACCACCUGUUGCGAAGGCGCCACACUAGAACGGAUCCGACGGUCAGGGACGAAGCCUAGGGGCACGAACCGGAUUAGAUACCCGGGUAGUCCUAGGUGUAAACGCUGUGGACUUGGUGUUGGGGAUUCUCCGAGGAUUCUCAGUGCCGAAGCGAAGGUGAUAAGUCCACUGCCUGGGGAGUACGGUCGCAAGGCUGAAACUUAAAGGAAUUGGCGGGG